UCUGUGAGGAUCUCUGUGUGGAAAGCUGGCCGGGCCUGUGGUAGCAGGGAGUCCGCGGUAGCUGUUCUCAGGGGGCACCCUAGUUCAUCCCGGGGCCUGUGGGGCCAGUGAAGCAACCCCAGCGAGGUCAGGGAAGGACCACCUGGGCCUGGCAAGCCUGCCUGCGGGCCUCCCAUCUGGGGAGAAAACUUUAGAGGAAAAGCACGUCUUUGCUGUGUACGCUGAGGUGUGUGUGUGUGUGUGUGUGUGUGUGUGGAGGGGGUUCCUGCUCCCUCAGAGACAGGCCUGGUGCAGACAUCACCCCCUUUUCCAGGGGUGGGUUCAUGCCGUCAGUGGAGGGAGAGGUUAGUAGGAGAGUCAGGGCAACAUUCUCUUGAAUGUCUUCCUACUCGAGCUUGCUGCUUUAGGCUUAAGAACACACGAGAGAGAAAAAAAAAACCUUUUUUUUUUUUUAAAGAAAAUGUGUCUUUGGUUUUGGAAUUUCGAGGGUGAUUAAGCAGAUACUUGGAAGCAGGGCUUUGUAUAUAAGCAAAAUGCUGGUCUCCGACUCGCCUGGGCUGACCACUGUCUCCCUGGGAAAAGCCCGCCGCUUGCUCCCAGCUGGUGAGUGCGAAGGGCUCACCCCGCCCCUGGCCCAAGUCUCUCCCCCUCUGCCCCCUCCUCCUGCGUCUGGUGAUAGCAGGCGCUGACUGUCACUCAGGUCUGGGCGCCCGCUAACCUUGGCCAGAUCGCUGAAUGUUAAACCAUCUGGCAAAAUAUCACGUUUUGACAAUGGGCCUUUUCUCUGUCGAUGGAGGCGAAGGGGGCAGUGCUGGGUGCUGGAGAGCCUCUUAGGCCUGGACAGUGGACAGGGGCAGGGUCCAGGAUCCCGCCUUUGAAUGUAAGGGGUGGGGACGGAGCUGGGGCCCUGCUCCUUAAAAUAGAAGUCGGCCCCCAAACCGUCAUCCCCAGCCCCCCAUUUCCAGAGACUGAGAGCGGGAGGGGGCUGCUGCCGACCUGGGAGACUCCGGCAUCCUCCCUCUCGUCCUUCCGGUGGGUUUUGCUGUAAUCAGACAAGCCGUGACAAAUGCCCGUUGCCCCUCGGCUGGGAGCUGAGCGGGGCCCUGAGCCCUGCCUGGAACCCCAGCCUCCUCCACUGGGGAGCCAUCAUUAGGCAACAGAAGAGUUCACGGGCCCUUGAUUCAAUAAAGACCCUUUUAUGAUGUUGAUUUUUCCCAGAAAAAUAUUACCGCUUUGCCCCGUUCGCUGCAUUUAGACGUGUAAUCAUAUUAGACGGAGCCGCCCCGGGGACUGAGGUUACGCAGUUCGGGUUUUCACCAAAGCCUGCUCCCCGGCUUCAGAGGAAAACUGUGUCCUUGGGAAAUAAAAAAGAAAAAGAAAAAAAAA